CCCCAAUAAUUCUGGGGACUGUAGAUUGUAAUUUGUGCGGUCGUUUUGCCUUUUAGGUGAAUAGUGAAUACAAGUUGAAGGUGGUAGGUAUUAAAUAUUAAUUGCAUUUAUUUUCUUUUUUGUAAAUUUUAUUUAUUUUAUCAUAAGUUACCAUGAUAUAUAUCUAUUCUAUAUAAAGUGUGUCUAUAUAAUUGAAAUUCUUGGUUUAUGAGAAAUUCAUGGUGAUUUUUAUUUUUAUUUAAUAAAAUAAUAAAAUAUUAUUUAUAUAUAAUAAAAUAAUAAUAAAACAAAUCUCAUUAAUAUUUGAACUGAUAUUUGAUCCUGAAUAUUAGAGAAUGAGAACCCAUUUAAAAAGAAAACAACCGGGGAUUUGAGGCAGCAGCCUAAUAGCGAAGCUCCUCAUAUACAUGUGAUGGUCGUCCAUCUCCAUUGCUGACAACUUGGUGAAUUUUCUAUCCAAUCAGGCAAUAACCACAAAAUCAAAGCUUUGUAGUCUAUUCUUGUUGCGAUAAAAGAUAUGUUGAUAGUGGCGAUAGUGGGGUAAACUUGUAUGCCUAUAAAGUGUUUGAUAUAAUUCUUCAAUGACUUCUUCAAAUUGCCUAGAGCAGCGGGUACCCAUACACCAACAAUACAAGCUCUAAAAGCCAUUGAAGCUGGGAAAUUGAAACUUAAACUUGGAGGUAAAAAUCUUCAAUUCUCAUAACCAAUCUUUACAAUUAAUCAAUAAAUUUAUGUUGGGGUUUCAAAUUUCAAUAUAUGUAGGAGUUGCAUUGGGAGAUAGUUGGAUAUCUCAUGAAGAUUUUGUGGUAAAAAAACUAUGAUCUGAAUUUUCAAUUUCUUUUUGAUUUUACAACUAUGGGAAUCAAGUCAUUUCAAUGUUUGAUUUUACAA